GAUGUUAUUGCAGUGAAGAAGGCAUUUGCUCAUGAAUUACAUUGUCCUGACACAACUGAGGCAUCUAUCCCCUCAACAGGCCUGAAUACCCCAUUUAGAGACUCCACUAUAUUUGGGAAUCAGAACAAUAUUCCAAGAAGAACACUGGAUUUCAGUUCGAGUCCAGUUGAAGAUAGUUCCGCAACCAAUUAUAAUGACAUAGUUUUUAAUGGGAGGAAAAGCUAGACAUCAUGCAUCAGUUUUUAGCAAGUACCGGCUCAAAUAAACGUUUGGGCUCCCAAGUUGCUGCAGCCUUGCAGGUGGUGAUGGUAUAUAGCUUGGCGUGGGAUGAUUUACACCAUUUAGGUGCCUCAGAUUAAGAUACUAAAUCAUGAGUCCGUCAGUGAAUUGUUGAAUUCGUCAAGUUUUAGUUCAGUAGUAAAGGCAAUAUAGUUUGGAAAAGCGCUUAUAUUGUUGCCAUGGGUGUGAUCAAGGAAUUAUUGCUAAGCACCUAAGGAGAAGAAGUUGGGUUUUCAGAUUCCGAGAAAUGAUGCAGACGGUGGGUUUAGAGUUUUUUUUUUUUUUUGUUUUCUUACAGAAUGUGUGGUUAGUUGAAUACCAAUUUUUUUUCUCUGCUCAAGAUAGGACAUGAUAUCUUAAUGUAUUACAGAAAAAAGGUCCAGGCUUGCGGUGUUAAUAGACCAUAUUACGAGUUUAGUUUUAAGUUACUGAUGGUUAUGAAUACAGGCAUGCAUAGUAUACUGUUCCAAUCA